UACGUAGGGGGCCAGCGUUGUCCGGAAUCAUUGGGCGUAAAGCGCGCGUAGGCGGUCAGGUAAGUCCGGUGUGAAAGUCAAAGGCUCAACCUUUGAAUGCCGCUGGAAACUGCCUGACUUGAGUCCGGAAGGGGCGAGUGGAAUUCCUGGUGUAGCGGUGAAAUGCGCAGAUAUCAGGAAGAACACCUAUGGCGAAGGCAGCUCUCUGGGACGGUACUGACGCUGAGACGCGAAAGCGUGGGGAGCGAACAGG
rnacentral:rRNA from 1 species